AAAGUCGGCCAGGCAAUCGCUGGACACGAAAGUGUCGGGAGGAAAGUCCGGGCUCCAUUGGGCAGGAUGCCAGCUAACGGCUGGGUGCUAUACGGUCGCGAGACGAAAGUUGAGCGACUCAAGGCAACGGAAAGUGCAACAGAAAAUAAACCGCCGAUGGCCCCGCAAGGGGAUCAGGUAAGGGCGAAACGGCGAGGUAAGAGCUCACCGCGCUGGCGGUAACGUUCAGCGGCAUGGCAAACCCCAUCCGGAGCAAGACCAAAUAGGGAAGCUGAGGCGUGGCCCGCGCUGCUUCCGGGUAGGUUGCUUGAGCCUGUCGGUAACGGCAGGCCUAGAGGAAUGAUUGCCGAACCCCGCAAGGGGGGAACAGAACCCGGCUUAUCGGCCGGCUUUCCAC
rnacentral:RNase_P_RNA from 1 species